UGUAGCAAUACACACGAGUACAGGUGCUGCAUGGCUGUCGUCAGCUCGUGCCGUGAGGUGUUGGGUUAAGUCCCGCAACGAGCGCAACCCUUGCACUUAGUUGCCAUCAGGUCAAGCUGGGCACUCUAAGUGGACUGCCUACGCAAGUAGUGAGGAAGGUGGGGAUGACGUCAAGUCCUCAUGGCCCUUACAUCCGGGGCCACACACGUGCUACAAUGGCCGGUACAGAGGGUUGCAGAGCCGCGAGGCGAAGCUAAUCCCAAAAAGCCGGUCUCAGUUCGGAUUGGAGUCUGCAACUCGACUCCAUGAAGCUGGAAUUGCUAGUAAUCGCGCAUCAGCACGGCGCGGUGAAUACGUUCCCGGGCCUUGUACACACCGCCCGUCAAGCCAUGGAAGCUGGGAGUACCCGAAACCGCUGCGCCAACCCGCAAGGGAGGCAGGCGUCUAAGGUAAGACCAGUGACUGGGGCUAAGUCGUAACAAGGUAGCCGUAUCGGAAGG
rnacentral:rRNA from 1 species